AAGUCGUAACAAGGUUGCCGUAGGUGAACCUGCGGCAGGAUCAUUAACGAUCAAAAACAAAAGUCGAACUUUUCCUCGGAGAGGUUCGCAAAGCUUGGUGAGAACCGCGUCUCUUUACGUACGCAUUUCUCUGGAAAGUUUUGUCUCUUACGUACGAGGCUUCCCAACCAGGCACCCACAAUCUAUUCAUAUUCAACAUAAAAUAUCGCACCUUCGGUGGAUCACUCGGCUGGUG
rnacentral:misc_RNA from 1 species